GCUGGCUUGGCCGAGAGGUCUAAGGCGUCUGACUUGAAUUUUCGAGAUCAUAUGUGCAUUGCACGCGUAGGUUCAAAUCCUGCAGCCAGCG
rfam:Calocera cornea HHB12733 unplaced genomic scaffold CALCOscaffold_20, whole genome shotgun sequence.